UACGAAGGGGACUAGCGUUGUUCGGAAUUACUGGGCGUAAAGCGCACGCAGGCGGAUUGAUAAGUCAGGGGUGAAAUCCCGGAGCUCAACUUCGGAAUUGCCUUUGAUACUGUCUGCCUUCGAGUUCGGGAGAGGUUGGCGGAAUUCCUAGUGUAGAGGUGAAAUUCGUAGAUAUUGGGAGGAACACCUGUGGCGAAAGCGGCGCACUGGACCAUAACUGACGCUGAUGCGCGAAAGCUAGGGGAGCAAACAGG
rnacentral:rRNA from 1 species